rnacentral:rRNA from 1 species
UUAGGAAUAUUCGUCAAUGGGGGAAACCCUGAACGAGCAAUGCCGCGUGAAGGAAGAAGGUCCUCUGGAUUGUAAACUUCUGUUGUAAGGGAAAAACGACUAAAUUAGGAAAUGAGUUUAGAGUGAUGGUACCUUACGAGAAAGCUCCGGCUAACUACGUGCC